rnacentral:rRNA from 1 species
GACGAACGCUGGCGGCGUGCUUAACACAUGCAAGUCGAACGGACAGGCCCUGCUUUUGUGGGGUGCUCGAGUGGCGAACGGGUGAGUAACACGUGAGUAACCUGUCCUUGACUUUCUGAUAACUUCACGGAACUGGGGCUAAUACACGAUAGGAUCUCCUGCUGCGCGGGGGGGGUUGGAGAGUUCCGGCGUUUGGGGAUGUUCUCGCUGGUUAUCAGCUUGUUCGUGGGGUAGUUGCGUACCAGGGUUUUGACGGGUAGCCGGCCUGAGAGGGGGGCCGGCCACAUUAGGCCUCAGCGAGGGACCAGACUGCUAAGUGAUGCAGCAGGGGGGAAUAUUGCACAAUGGGCGGACGCGUGAUGCAGCGACGCCGGGUGCGGGAUAACCGCUUUCGGGUGGUAAACAGCUUUCGCCUGUGCUGAAGCGUGAGUGACGGUAAUGGGUAAAGAAGCCCCGGCUAACUACGUG